AGCUGCUUUGGAGGUAGCCCUCUUGGAAGUGGGAAGGGUGAUAUAACCCCAGCAGGGUUUGAAGGAGAGACAUUAGCAAAAGCCUGGGAAGAGUCCUGGCCUGGGCUUGGUUAAAAGAGGGGAGAGGCUUGGCUAAAAGAGGGGAGCAGUUUUCCCGGGGAGGAAAACAAAGGAGAUAAACCAGGGAAAAGACCUCCCCAUGGCUGCCCCUCCUAGAGCCCCUGGCAGAGCCCUGUAGAAGUAGCAGGAGAGGCUGAAGCGAGAGUGCUGCACUGUGUCCUUCUCCCUCCUUUCCUCCUUGGAGCCCUGCUGGGGCAGAAAAAGAGAGGAGCUGUCUGUGAGGAGACUCUGAGCCUGGGAAGACCCUCCUGCAAGCCCCUGUGUGGCUGAAUCAAUGUGAAGAUAGUGCAUUUCAAAAGUACCUCCUACAAGGAUAUGGCAGCAUCAGUCCUUCAACCUCCAGAAAUGCAACAUAAUAUCAAGAUGCACCACCAAAGACAAGAGUCAUCCACCCAGGAAUCAUGUACAGACUCCAUACACACCCCAUCUGCAGUUACCAAACUGGGGAUCCAAGCAUACAGAAUGCUCUAAAUUGUCCUAUGUGGAUACUGAUAACUUCAGUAAUUCUCCAUAAUGCAACUAACUGGACUCAUUCUAAAACACCCACCUC